ACCGGAAUACCUCAGUUGGGAGAGCGUUAGACUAUAGAUCGAAAAGUCCCUGGUUCGAUCCUGAGUUCUGGCA
rnacentral:tRNA from 1 species